rnacentral:snRNA from 1 species
ACACUCUAGUGCCUCCUCAUUUAGGGAUAAAUAUUUCACCUUUUACUAAAGAUUUCUGUGGGGAGGCACAAUACAAUGAGUCUUGCCUCAUUUUUUUCAGCUGUCUUCGGACAGAG